GUCUCUGUAGCUUAGUCGGUAGAGCAUCAGUCUCAUGGUCUUCCUAGAUGGUACUCUUGGAUAGUAUGAGGUAGCUGAAGGUCGUCAGUUCGAGUCUGGCCGGAGACA